AUACAUAGGGGGCAAGCGUUAUCCGGAUUUAUUGGGCGUAAAGCGUGCGUAGGCGGUUUAUUAGGUCAGGCGUAAAAGAUCACAGCUCAACUGUGUAGGGCGUUUGAAACCGGUAGACUUGAAUACGGUAGAGGCAGGUGGAAUUCCAUGUGUAGCGGUGGAAUGCGUAGAUAUAUGGAGGAACACCAAUGGCGAAGGCAGCCUGCUGGGCCGGAAUUGACGCUGAGGCACGAAAGCGUGGGGAGC
rnacentral:rRNA from 1 species